rnacentral:misc_RNA from 1 species
GAUGAAGAACGUAGCGAAAUGCGAUACUUGGUGUGAAUUGCAGAAUCCCGAGAACCAUCGAGUCUUUGAACGCAAGUUGCGCCCGAAGCCAUUAGGCCGAGGGCACGCCUGCCUGGGCGUCACACGUCGUUGCCCCCCCAUCUACUCCUUCGGGAUUGCGGGGGGCGGAUGAUGGCCUCUCGUGCGCCUCGUCGCGCGGUUGGCCUAAAUGCCAAGUCCUCGGCGACGCACGCCACGACAAUCGGUGGUUGCGAAACCUCGGUUGCCUGUCGUGUGCGGUCGUCGCGCAUCGAGGGCUCGAAAAAAUUGCCGGGCUUCGGCUCGACUUUCAACGCGACCCCAGGUCAGGCGGGGUUACCCGCUGAAUUUAAGCAUAUCAAUAAGCGGAGGA